rnacentral:rRNA from 1 species
GACAGAGGCCUCAAGCGUUAGGCGGAAUCACUGGGCUUAAAGCGUGUGUAGGCGGACUUCUAAGUGCCUUGUGAAAUCCCACGGCUCAACCGUGGAACUGCUGGGCAUACUGGGGAGUCUUGGGCCAUUCAGGGGGCAACUGGAGCAAGCGGUGGAGCGGUGAAAUGCGUAGAUAAUCGCUUGGAACGCCGAAGGUGAAAACAGGUUGCUGGGG